GACGAACGCUGGCGGCGUGCCUAACACAUGCAAGUCGAACGGAGAAUUUUAUUUCGGUAGAAUUCUUAGUGGCGAACGGGUGAGUAACGCGUAGGCAACCUGCCCUUUAGACGGGGACAACAUUCCGAAAGGAGUGCUAAUACCGGAUGUGAUCAUCUUGCCGCAUGGCAGGAUGAAGAAAGAUGGCCUCUACAAGUAAGCUAUCGCUAAAGGAUGGGCCUGCGUCUGAUUAGCUAGUUGGUAGUGUAACGGACUACCAAGGCGAUGAUCAGUAGCCGGUCUGAGAGGAUGAACGGCCACAUUGGGACUGAGACACGGCCCAAACUCCUACGGGAGGCAGCAGUGGGGAAUCUUCCGCAAUGGACGAAAGUCUGACGGAGCAACGCCGCGUGAGUGAUGAAGGAUUUCGGUCUGUAAAGCUCUGUUGUUUAUGACGAACGUGCAGUGUGUGAACAAUGCAUUGCAAUGACGGUAGUAAACGAGGAAGCCACGGCUAACUACGUGCCAGCCGCCGCCGUAA
rnacentral:rRNA from 1 species